rnacentral:rRNA from 1 species
CAAUAGCGUAUAUUAAAGUUGUUGCAGUUAAAAAGCUCGUAGUUGGAUUUGUGGCCUGCUGCGGGGCCCGGCAUUGCGCCGCGGCUUUUUGUGGCGGGCCAUCCUUGGGUGGAAUCCGUGUGGCAUUAGGUUGUCGCGCGGGGGAUGCCCACCGUUUACUGUGAAAAAAUUAGAGUGUUCAAAGCAGGCUUAUGCCGUUGAAUAUAUUAGCAUGGAAUAAUGAGAUAGGACCUGGGUACUAUUUUGUUGGUUUGCGCGCCCUGGUAAUGAUUAACAGGAACAGUUGGGGGUAUUCGUAUUCCAUUGUCAGAGGUGAAAUUCUUGGAUUUCUGGAAGACGAACUACUGCGAAAGCAUUUACCAAGGAUGUUUUCAUUAA